GGGGAUAACUACUGGAAACGGUGGCUAAUACCGCAUAACGUCGCAAGACCAAAGAGGGGGACCUUCGGGCCUCUUGCCAUCAGAUGUGCCCAGAUGGGAUUAGCUUGUUGGUGAGGUAACGGCUCACCAAGGCGACGAUCCCUAGCUGGUCUGAGAGGAUGACCAGCCACACUGGAACUGAGACACGGUCCAGACUCCUACGGGAGGCAGCAGUGGGGAAUAUUGCACAAUGGGCGCAAGCCUGAUGCAGCCAUGCCGCGUGUAUGAAGAAGGCCUUCGGGUUGUAAAGUACUUUCAGCGGGGAGGAAGGUGUUGUGGUUAAUAACCGCAGCAAUUGACGUUACCCGCAGAAGAAGCACCGGCUAACUCCGUGCCAGCAGCCGCGGUAAUACGGAGGGUGCAAGCGUUAAUCGGAAUUACUGGGCGUAAAGCGCACGCAGGCGGUCUGUCAAGUCGGAUGUGAAAUCCCCGGGCUCAACCUGGGAACUGCAUUCGAAACUGGCAGGCUUGAGUCUUGUAGAGGGGGGUAGAAUUCCAGGUGUAGCGGUGAAAUGCGUAGAGAUCUGGAGGAAUACCGGUGGCGAAGGCGGCCCCCUGGACAAAGACUGACGCUCAGGUGCGAAAGCGUGGGGAGCAAACAGGAUUAGAUACCCUGGUAGUCCACGCCGUAAACGAUGUCUACUUGGAGGUUGUGCCCUUGAGGCGUGGCUUCCGGAGCUAACGCGUUAAGUAGACCGCCUGGGGAGUACGGCCGCAAGGUUAAAACUCAAAUGAAUUGACGGGGGCCCGCACAAGCGGUGGAGCAUGUGGUUUAAUUCGAUGCAACGCGAAGAACCUUACCUGGUCUUGACAUCCACAGAACUUUCCAGAGAUGGAUUGGUGCCUUCGGGAACUGUGAGACAGGUGCUGCAUGGCUGUCGUCAGCUCGUGUUGUGAAAUGUUGGGUUAAGUCCCGCAACGAGCGCAACCCUUAUCCUUUGUUGCCAGCGGUCCGGCCGGGAACUCAAAGGAGACUGCCAGUGAUAAACUGGAGGAAGGUGGGGAUGACGUCAAGUCAUCAUGGCCCUUACGACCAGGGCUACACACGUGCUACAAUGGCGCAUACAAAGAGAAGCGACCUCGCGAGAGCAAGCGGACCUCAUAAAGUGCGUCGUAGUCCGGAUUGGAGUCUGCAACUCGACUCCAUGAAGUCGGAAUCGCUAGUAAUCGUGGAUCAGAAUGCCACGGUGAAUACGUUCCCGGGCCUUGUACACACCGCCCGUCACACCAUGGGAGUGGGUUGCAAAAGAAGUAGGUAGCUUAACCUUCGGGAGGGCGCUUACCACUUUGUGAUUCAUGACUGGGGUGAAGUCGUAACAAGGUAACCGUAGGGGAACCUGCGGUUGGAUCACCUCCUUACCUUAAAGAAGC
rnacentral:rRNA from 1 species